rnacentral:tRNA from 1 species
GGUUCAAUGGCGUAGUCGGUUAUCGCGCCUGUCUCACAUUGUUCACAGGAGGUCCCCGGUUCGAGCCCGGGUUGAACCA